CUCUUCUGAAAUGUGUCAGAAAGCAGGAAAUCAGUGUAUUUUUUUGGUAGGAACUGUGGCCCUUCCUCCAGGGUCACAGCAAGCUCCAGAGUAUGGCCCCCCAGUUCCUAUUCAGAACCGCUCUUUCCUGCUUAGACCCUCAUUACAGAAUAGAUCCGUGGUCCUGGGUCUGUUCUCUGAAUUAAGAAGUAGUAACUUUUGGUGGGGGCACCACCUUUGCACCCAUCAUCUCAUCCAUCUAUGGCAAACCUUUCAGGGAUGUAACAGGGCUUUCUGAGAUACAAUCUGAGGCUCUCAAGUGUGGCUGAACAGACCCUGGAAACUGAUGUUGGUACAGGUGUCACUAAUCAAAUAUCCUGUGUUUGCCCACAAUAUCACAUUGCUUUCAUUUACCAGUCUGAGGACCUCUAAAGGAAGUCUUCCUGUCUGAACCUCAAAGGGAAAUUUAUUGGCAUUGUUGAUACCCAGUCAGGAAUAGAAUAAAAUCUUCUGUUCCUGCUACUGUAAAAGUCUUCCCUCCCAACAGUCUUUCAAAUCUUAUUUGUUUAGGAGACCGACACAAACUGAGUACAUCAAUAUGAGAUAACAAUUUAAAAUGAAUCCCAGCAUCUCUUCAUACCUAGAAGGACAUCUAUGAGUUUGCAGCAUCUGUGGGAAUCAUUUCUUUGGGCUGUGUGAGGAGCCAUGCAGCAUAACGGAUGGCAUGCUGUGGCAGGUGGCAGACAGAGAAGUUUUGAUGAGUUCUCCAGAAGUUCAGAGGGAAAGGAGCUAGAGAAACACUUGGAGUUCUUGAGAAGAGCUUGAAAAGAGAAGGUCCAAAGGACAGGCCUCUUAGGAACAUCUACACCACUGAAGGAUCUAGUGGGAAUGGAAGCUGGUUUUGUCCCAAAACCAGAGGAAAACUAUGAGAAAAUUGGACAAGAUGGGGUCCUUACCAUCAUCAGUAUUGUAUGGUUUUAUUAAAUGAAUAUGGCAAAUGUAUUAAGAUCCUAUUAUUCAUGAUUUGAAAAUUUUAGACAAAUAUUUCAGUAAGAUUCAAGAGCACCAUAAUGUAUUAGAGAAUACCAAGUAAUUUAUGCUACAUAAACAUCAGUUUCUUGCUUUGUAAAAUAAUGUUUACCUUAUGGGGUUAUUCUAAGAUUUGAAAUGGUACAUGGUAGGUAUUCAAUAUAUGGAAACUAUUACACAUUCUUUUAUUUAAAAAUUAAUUCAAAUCAGGGACGCCUGGGUGGCUCAGUCAGUUAAACACCUGUCUUUGGCUCAGGUCAUGGUUCUGUCUGGAGUCCUGGGAUUGAGCCCCAGUUGGGCUCCCUGCUCAGUGGGGAGUCUGCUCCUCCCCCACCUUGUGCACAUGCUCGCUCACUCUAGCUCUCAUUCUCUCAAAUAAAAUCUUUUAAAAAUUAAUUCAAACCAAAGAGAGAUAUCUAAAUUCAACCCAAAUACCCACCUCAAAUUUUGGGAAUGGGGUUUCCGUGCCUCCUGCCAUCACCAUCUCUUUUUCCAAUAUCUUCUUGAGUCCUGCUGCCACCAUUCUUGUCCAGGAUCCUCUAUGGUUUACAACAGCCUCCUUAUUGGUUUCACUUUCUUAUUCUCGGCCCACUUCAGUCCAGCUUGCACCCAAAAGAUCACUCUCAACUUACCCAUAGUCAACCCAGAUCUCUAGGCUUUAUUCUUUUGAGUCUAAUAUCCUCUGCCUGGUCUCAGGUUCCAAGAUUCAGCUCUUUAGGGUAUGGUUAGCUGUGGUAUUGUGCUAUAUAAGAAAUAUAUAUUUGGUCUUUGUCCCAGUUAAGCUUUCUCUAAUUCUGUAUAAACUCUAUAUAAACUUCUGUCUCAAUCUGCCUCAUUCUUAUUAAAGGAUGCAGUUUUUCAUUUAAUGGAUAUUAUUUACUCAGACUCAUGUUAAUGGAUAUUCAGGUAUUUUCCAGAUUUUUGCCACUAAAAACACUGCCGCAAUUUAUUGUCUUUGUGCAUAUAAAUAUAAAUAACCUGGAGUACAUUUUCCAGUAAUUUUGAUAGUUACUGCUAUUUGGAAAAAUUGUUUUCCAAAAGUUUUGGUAUACCUGGCUCUGGACAUUAGCAAACUUUUAAAUUUGGCUGGUUUGUUAUUUGGUUCUGAAUCUCAUAGUCCCUCUCAGACACCAGGAGAAAUAAGAAGUCAGGUGUACCCUGAUCUUGCAAACUUUCUUAAGGCAGGGGGUCCUCUCCAGCCCAUUGGGGCCCCUGCUCAGGGCUAAACUUUGAGCUCAUGAGUAAGUAUUCCUUAGCCAGGUUGCGAUUUGGGGUUUGUUUCUUUAGUUGAUCUUUUUUCCUUCCUCUCUUCCUUUGCUACUUGGUUUUUGCGUUUACUGUUUGAGAGGUUAUUAUUACAUUUCAUCUUACUGCAUUGCAAAGUAGAAAAGGAAAUGAAGGGCUGGUGGCCACUUGGGUUUGUCAGGAUGAACUCCUGGGCCCUUGCUCACCCCCAUUCCAUCCUGGUCCUUGGUUCUGUAGGCUCAGAAAUCUCAUUUUGUUGGUAGGCUGGGGGGGGUGGGCUCCAAGGGCCUAGAUCCCACUGACCAGACUCUUAAGGAACAAAUGCAUAUACCCUAAUACUAAUUGUUAUUAAUAGGUAGUAGCAUUUAUUGAGUGCCAUAGUACCAACUGCUUUGUAAAUAUUAAUAAUACAUGUUAUUCACGUAAAACCCUGUUACGGUAGGUAUUCUUUUCCUCCUAAUGCUACUAAUAAAGAAAAUGAGGUUCAGAGAUUAAGGAAUUUCCCCAAGGUUUCACUACUAGUAAAGUUAAGUGUGUUAGUUUAGUUAACUAAAUAAGUAAAGUUAAGAUCUUAACCUGAAUGGUCUGGUUCUAGAAAUCAUGCUCUCUGGAUAUGCUACCUAGAGUCAGAUACCAUCUGCCUUGGAGGGUACCUGGGUGGUCACAAUGCCAUGGUUGUGUUUCCUCCCCUUGUUUCCAGCCCCCUUCUAUAAUAUAGUUGUUGUGGGGGAUCCCUGGGUGGCUCAGCAGUUUGGUGCCUGCCUUCGGCCUGGGCUAUGAUCCUAGAGUCCCGGGAUCAGGUCCCACAUCAGGCUCCCUGCAUGGAGCUGGCUUCUCCCUCUGUGUCUCUCUGCCUCUCUGUCUCUCAUGAAUAAAUAAAUGAAAUUAAACAAAAAAUAUAUAUAUGUAUAUAUAGUUGUUGUGGUAAGAAAUUACUUUGCUAUGUUCAUGGUUUCCCACUCUAUCACUGGACAAGCAAUCCCAGAGUUCACUGAACACAAAGGCUCAUAGGCCAAAUGAAGAGAAAUAGAUCAAAUAACACAAUUAAUUGAAUCCAUUUAACACAUACAACAAGAAGGAAGGGGAAAGUAACGGGGAAGGUUAACACACCUAGAAGAGGGUACAGUGAUGGACACAGUGUCCAACCCUGACUUACACAAUCUGUUGUGCCUAGAUCUGCUGCAUCAGACAUCCCUACUACUGGUGCUGCAGGUCAAAGGAAUUUAUAGCUGAGCAUGAGUGAGGAGGCGGGAGGUGCCUGAAGCUAAUUUAUGCUCACCUGAUCACGAGUAAUCUGCAGAAGAGCUAUGGAUUGCCCUGUGGGUAGCAUGCAGGGCAUAUUCGGUCACAACAGGUAUCACCAAUGGAUGGCUGAUUUAAGGCUUGAAUACUGGGUAUCUCCGGUACCUCAUGAAUAUUCAACAUGGUUCUUGGCCCUUCCACUCCUUCCUAAAUCUAUGUUUACCAAACAUACUCUAUUUCUGUUAACAUGUCUCAGAAGCCAUGCUUAUUUGUCAUUUACAAUUAGUUUCUUCUCAAUUCAUUUCUCUUACUAUAGAAGAAUUGAAUACUUGAAUUUUUUUUU